UAGGGAAUCUUCCGCAAUGGACGCAAGUCUGACGGAGCAACGCCGCGUGAGUGAAGAAGGAUUUCGGUUCGUAAAACUCUGUUGUUAGAGAAGAACAGCGCAUAGAGUAACUGUUAUGCGUGUGACGGUAUCUAACCAGAAAGCCACGGCUAACUACGUGCCAGCAGCCGCGGUAAUACGUAGGUGGCAAGCGUUGUCCGGAUUGAUUGGGCGUAAAGCGAGCGCAGGCGGUCAAUUAAGUCUGAUGUGAAAGCCCCGGGCUCAACCGGGGAGGGUCAUUGGAAACUGGUUGACUUGAGUGCAGAAGAGGGGAGUGGAAUUCCGUGUGUAGCGGUGAAAGGCGUAGAUAUAUGGAGGAACACCAGUGGCGAAGGCGACUCUCUGGUCUGUAACUGACGCUGAGGCUCGAAAGCGUGGGUAGCAAACAGG
rnacentral:rRNA from 1 species